rnacentral:rRNA from 1 species
GAUGAACGCUGGCGGCGUGCCUAAUACAUGCAAGUCGAGCGAACGGACGAGAAGCUUGCUUCUCUGAUGUUAGCGGCGGACGGGUGAGUAACACGUGGAUAACCUACCUAUAAGACUGGGAUAACUUCGGGAAACCGGAGCUAAUACCGGAUAAUAUUUUGAACCGCAUGGUUCAAAAGUGAAAGACGGUCUUGCUGUCACUUAUAGAUGGAUCCGCGCUGCAUUAGCUAGUUGGUAAGGUAACGGCUUACCAAGGCAACGAUGCAUAGCCGACCUGAGAGAGUGAUCGGCCACACUGGAACUGAGACACGAUCCAGACUCCUACGGGAGGCAGCAGUAGGGAAUCUUCCGCAAUGGGCGAAAGCCUGACGGAGCAACGCCGCGUGAGUGAUGAAGGUCUUCGGAUCGUAAAACUCUGUUAUUAGGGAAGAACAUAUGUGUAAGUAACUGUGCACAUCUUGACGGUACCUAAUCAGAAAGCCACGGCUAACUACGUG